CCUUUAUAUAGGAAUUUAUUUAGUCGUCCCAUUAUCGACUUAAACCUUAAUUAAGGUUUAUGCAUAAUUUCGGCCCACAUACUUGAAAUUACAACAUUAUAUCAAAUAAAGCCUGUAAGGUGUAAAACAGCCCAAAUUAAUCAUUUAACAUAAUUGGUCUAAUCAUAAUGUCAUUGUGAGUCAUACAUCUAACCUGUAAAAUUUUACAAUCGAAUGUGAAUCCUAUAUUUGAAAGUAUUCCAACAGAUCCAUCUUCUUUCAGUCCAGCUUCGAGCUUCAUUUUACCGACAUAUCUUAUAGCUUCAGCUUCAUGUAAACCUAUAACCCAACCCAUUACAUAGGAAGGUAUGAGCACUUUGGUUUAGUACACCCUGCUUAGUCAAAACACCUUGCCACGUAAAGGUCCAUCAUCUCCAUCUUCUAUUCGAGCUUUGUCUGAACGUAAAGGUCCAUCUUCUUUCAGUCCAGCUUCGAGCUUCAUCUGAAUGACCCAUAUUUCAGCUCCAACUUAAUGUAAACGUAUAAGCCAACAAAUUACACAGGAGUAUGAGCACUUUGUUUUAGUACAUUGUUUUAAUUUCUAAAAUUUUUAUGAUAUAGGUUAUGCAUCAUCCAAAAUUCAAUGCAUACAUGAAACCAUACAUUUCUAUGUUUUCCGUCAGAUUGAGGAUAGUGAAUUUUGGAACAAUGAUCAUGCUGUAGAUGUUAAAUAUAAGUGAAAUUUCAAAAUUGAUAUUUUUAAUUGACUUAUUCUGUAAUUGAUUUUCAGCUCAUGAGAAGGAAUGAAGGCUAAACAAAUCCAUGCAUCUACAUUCAAAAGCAUGAUUUGUAUCGGUAUGUAUUUGUACAAUGUUAAUGUUUUGCUAAACUUAAAUACUUAUAUUUUUCGCAGCUAAAGAAAUCAUGGAUGAC
rnacentral:lncRNA from 1 species